rnacentral:rRNA from 1 species
CCUACGGGAGGCAGCAGUAAGGAAUAUUGGACAAUGGACGCAAGUCUGAUCCAGCCAUGCCGCGUGAAGGAUGAAUGCCCUCUGGGUUGUAAACUUCUUUUAUAGGGGAAGAAAGUUAUCUUUUUUAGGAUAUUUGACGGUACCCUGUGAAUAAGCACCGGCUAACUCCGUGCCAGCAGCCGCGGUAAUACGGAGGGUGCAAGCGUUAUCCGGAUUCACUGGGUUUAAAGGGUGCGUAGGCGGGUAUGUAAGUCAGUGGUGAAAUACCGGAGCUUAACUUCGGAACUGCCAUUGAUACUAUAUAUCUUGAAUAUUGUGGAGGUAAGCGGAAUAUGUCAUGUAGCGGUGAAAUGCUUAGAGAUGACAUAGAACACCGAUUGCGAAGGCAGCUUGCUACGCAAAUAUUGACGCUGAGGCACGAAAGCGUGGGGAUCAAACAGGAUUAGAUACCCUGGUAGUC